ACGGAGGGAUCUAGCGUUAUUCGGAAUAACUGGGCGUAAAGCGAGCGUAGGCGGAUUUGUAAGUUGGAGGUGAAAUCCCAGGGCUUAACCCUGGAACUGCCUUCAAAACUACAUUUCUUGAGUUUGGUAGAGGAGAGUGGAAUUCCUAGUGUAGAGGUGAAAUUCGUAGAUAUUAGGAGGAACACCAGUGGCGAAGGCGACUCUCUGGGCCAAUACUGACGCUGAGGUUCGAAAGCGUGGGGAGCAAACGGG
rnacentral:rRNA from 1 species